CCAAAUUCCUCCCCUAGACAAUGCACCAUUCAACACAUAACAAAUCACAGGAUUGAGUGUUACACUCUUCUCAUCCAAUUCAUUUAAAAGCUUCUCAUAUCCCCAUUUUCAGAGAACUUGAUAUUAAACAAUUUUGAGUUGCAAAGUUGGAAUAAUAUUCUCUCCAAGACCAAUCCCUUCAAGCCAAUCACGAUCAGAUCCUCCGCCACAUAGAGAAACCAUCAAACAAACACUUAUUACCAAACCAAUCAAGAAACUCCUUAUAAGUUGCAAUCUUUUUGAGGAAUCAAAAUGUUUAAUUGACCUUAAUAGCCAACAGAUCAAGAAAAUAUAUGUUAAAACAUUAGGAGAGGGUUUUUACUGCUUUUGUUCCUCAAGAAAUCUCAUUGCAGUAGUACUUUUCAUUUCAUUUUAUAAUACACAUAAAUGUAGUCAAGGGUUAUAGUUGUGCCCAAGGUCCGUGAAAGUAGAACCAGAACUGAGAUCCAUGUCGGCCGGCUGGCAGUAUGAGUCGGUACAGAUCUGUAUCGGACUAGACCAGUGCAAAUCGGCACAAAAGAGAAGAAGGGAAUCGGGGAGGAGAAAAAGAGAUAAAGAGGGGAGGGGAAGGGAGAAAGGAGGAGGGAGGGAGAGGGUGGCCAAAAGAGAUACUGGCAGUGGCCAUAGGCAGGCCAUGGGCAUACUUGGAGGGCCACCAAAGCCUUCGCUUCCUUUGCCAAAUCUCGAUCAAAAGAGAGAGAGAGAGAGAGAGAGAGAGGGAGGGAAAGAAAGGGAAGGAAGGGAAGCUGUCGGAGAGGCUGUCGAAGAGCCUUCAGCUAGCCAUCGUGACCGUCGGAUAGUGUAAUUGCAACCUAUGGUGCUGCGGACAUGAAACAUGAGCGAUCGCCCC
rnacentral:lncRNA from 1 species